rnacentral:rRNA from 1 species
ACAAUGGGCGAAAGCCUGAUCCAGCAAUGCCGCGUGAGUGAUGAAGGCCUUAGGGUUGUAAAGCUCUUUUACCAGGGAUGAUAAUGACAGUACCUGGAGAAUAAGCUCCGGCUAACUCC